GCUACGGGAGGCAGCAGUGGGGAAUAUUGCACAAUGGGGGAAACCCUGAUGCAGCGACGCCGCGUGAGUGAAGAAGUAUUUCGGUAUGUAAAGCUCUAUCAGCAGGGAAGAAGCAAGACGGUACCGGACCAAGAAGCCCCGGCCAACUACGUGCCAGCAGCCGCGGUAAUACGUAGGGGGCAAGCGUGCGCCGGAUUUACUGGGUGUAAAGGGAGCGGAGACGGUCUGGCAAGUCUGACGUGAAAGCCCAGGGCUUAACCCUGGGACUGCUUUGGAAACUGUUAGACUAGAGUGCUGGGGAGGUAAGUGGAAUUCCUAGUGUAGCGGUGAAAUGCGUAGAUAUUAGGAGGAACCCCAGUGGCGACGGCGGCUUACUGGACCGUACCUGACGUUGCGGCUCGAACGCGUGGGGAGCAAACAGGAUUAGAUACCCUUGUAGUC
rnacentral:rRNA from 1 species